rnacentral:rRNA from 1 species
AUUUUUAAAAAUUUCUAAGACAUGAACAAGCCCGAUCUCGUCUGAUCUUGGAAGCUAAGCAGGGUUGAGCCUGGUUGGUUAUUGGAUGGAAGACCACCUAGAAAGAUCAGGUACCAUAGGCA